rnacentral:rRNA from 1 species
GAUGAACGCUGGCGGCAUGCCUAAUACAUGCAAGUCGAACGAAGCACUUGUGCUUAGUGGCGAACGGGUGAGUAACACGUGGGUAACCUGCCCAUCAGAGGGGGAUAACACUUGGAAACAGGUGCUAAUACCGCAUAACAGUCGACACCGCAUGGUGUUGAUUUGAAAGACGCUUUCGGGUGUCACUGAUGGAUGGACCCGCGGUGCAUUAGCUAGUUGGUGAGGUAACGGCUCACCAAGGCCAUGAUGCAUAGCCGACCUGAGAGGGUGAUCGGCCACACUGGGACUGAGACACGGCCCAGACUCCUACGGGAGGCAGCAGUAGGGAAUCUUCGGCAAUGGACGAAAGUCUGACCGAGCAACGCCGCGUGAGUGAAGAAGGUUUUCGGAUCGUAAAACUCUGUUGUUAGAGAAGAACAAGUAGGAGAGUAACUGCUCUUACCUUGACGGUAUCUAACCAGAAAGCCACGGCUAACUACGUGCCAGCCGCCGCGGUAACAC